rfam:Oryza nivara chromosome 1, whole genome shotgun sequence.
AAAAAGAUAAAUCCUGGGUUAGUGUCCAACAUUUAACCGUCCGUCUUAUUUAAAAAAAUUAUGAAAAAAAUUAAAAAGACAAGUCAUGCAUAAAGUAUUAAUCAUGUUUUAAUCAUCUAGCAACAAUAAAAAUACUAAUUAUAAAAAAAUUUCAUAAAAGACGGAUAGUUAAACGUUGCACACAAAAAUUUAGGGUUAGUCUUUUU